UACGUAGGGGGCUAGCGUUGUCCGGAAUCAUUGGGCGUAAAGAGCGUGUAGGCGGCUCGGUAAGUCCGCUGUGAAAGUCCAGGGCUCAACCCUGGAAUGCCAGUGGAAACUGUCGAGCUAGAGUCCGGAAGAGGCGAGUGGAAUUCCCGGUGUAGCGGUGAAAUGCGCAGAUAUCGGGAGGAACACCAAUGGCGAAGGCAGCUCGCUGGGACGGUACUGACGCUGAGGCGCGAAAGCUAGGGGAGCAACAGG
rnacentral:rRNA from 1 species